AGUGAAGUGCCUGAAAAAGGAUUACCAUGAUAGAGUAAAUAAUGUGAUAAAAUCACCUUCAUUA
rnacentral:tRNA from 2 species